AUAAGAAUUAUUUGAUCAAAAUAAAGGGAAAGGUUUUUAAGUGAAAAUAGAUGUAAAAUUUUAAAUAGGGGGUUGGUUUAAAAAAUUACGGGGGCUAUUUUCAGUAUUUAAAAUUAAAAAAGUUAUUGGGGGGUAACUUUAGUUAAUUUAAGUACAUUGGGAGUAAAAUGAUGUGCCAGCAUUCGCGGUUACUCAUCAUCCUUAGAUCUUUAUUUUUAAUUGGGAGGUUAAUAUAGUAAUUUAUUUUAGUUUAUUUUAAUGGGGGGUGAAAUAGAUUAAAAUUUUUUAUAUAUAGAAAAUCUUCAAAAUUUUGGGUUUAAACUAGGAUUAGAUACCCUAUUAUUUAAAUUUAAUUAAAUUUCUUUUUAGGAGUUUAGUUACAUAAAAAAUUAAAUUGAUUUGGCGGUUUAUUAAACUUUUUAGAGGAACCUGUAAAUUAAAUUGAUAAUCCACGAUUUUUAUUACUUUAAUUUUCUUGUAUAUCUCUAUAAUUGAAUAUAUUUUGAGAUUAAUUUUCUUAUAUAAAAUUUUCACAUUAAUUUAGGUCAAGGUGCAGUUAUAUUGACGGUUUAAUGGGUUACAUUAAUGGUGGUUUGUAGUGAAUUAAUUAAAUUUAUUUCAAAAUUGGAUUUAAAAGUAAUUAAUUUAAUUAAAAUUUUUGAAUAAUGCUCUAAUUUAUGUACAUAUCGCCCGUCAUUCUCAUUUAUUGAGACAAGUCGUAACAAAGUAGGUGUAUUGGAAAAUGUAUCUAG
rnacentral:ncRNA from 1 species